UAGAUACUCCCUCCGUCCGAAAAUACUUGUCAUUGAAAUGGAUGUAUUUAGAUGUAUUUUAGUUCUAGAUACAUCCAUUUUCAUCAAUUUUGAUGACAAGUAUUUUCGGACGGAGGGAGUAAAAA
rnacentral:pre_miRNA from 1 species